CCACUUUUGCUUUUUGUUUAAAAAAGUUUGAUUCUUGCUUUUAGAUUUGGAUUUUUAAGUAUUUUAUAUGUAAGAUUUUUCUUUUAUUUUCUAAAUGAUUUUUUGUUCAGUAUUUAAUUUUAGUUUUUAUUUCAAGAUAAAACUAGAUUUUAAUUUUUUAACUGACAAAAGUUGUGCCAGCCGUCGCGGUUAUACAAUUGGUUAAAUUUAAUCUUUUUGAUUUUAUAUUAAUUUUUUCUUUUUUAAAAAUAAUUUUUAUUUUUAGGUGAAAUUUUAAUUUUAUAUAUUUUUAUUGGUUAAUGAUUUAUAUAUGAAAAUUUUUAAUAAACUAGGAUUAGAUACCCUAUUAUUUGAAUUGUAAAUUUUUUAACAUUAAUAGUUAUGUUCUUUAAAUUAAAAGAAUUUGGCGGUAAUUUAAUCUUUCUAGAGGAACCUGUCCUGUAAUUGAUAAUCCACGAUUAAUUUUACUUUAAUUUUGCUUAUAUAUCGCUGUCAUUGAAUGUUUUAAAAGGAUAUUUUCUUAAAUUUUUAUGAAUUUAAUGUUAGGUCAAGAUGUAGCUAUAUUGAAGAAGAGAUGGGUUACAAUAAAUUUAUUUAUGGAUAAAUAUAUGAAAUUGUUUAUUUUGAAAUUGGAUUUAGGUGUAAUUUUUAUUAAAUUAUAAUUUUGAUUUUAGUUCUAAAUUAUGCACACAUCGCCCGUCACUCUCAUUAUUUAGUUGGGAUAAGUCGUAACAAAGUAGGCCUACCGGAAGGUGGGCCUGGAUAGUUC
rnacentral:ncRNA from 1 species